AUUGAACGCUGGCGGCAGGCCUAACACAUGCAAGUCGAACGAGUGGCGGACGGGUGAGUAAUGUCUGGGAAACUGCCUGAUGGAGGGGGAUAACUACUGGAAACGGUAGCUAAUACCGCAUACCAUCGGAUGUGCCCAGAUGGGAUGAGCUAGUAGGUGGGGUAAAGGCUCACCUAGGCGACGAUCCCUAGCUGGUCUGAGAGGAUGACCAGCCACACUGGAACUGAGACACGGUCCAGACUCCUACGGGAGGCAGCAGUGGGGAAUAUUUGACAAUGGGCGAAAGCCUGAUGCAGCCAUGCCGCGUGCAUGAAGAAGGCCUUCGGGUUGUAAAGUACUUUCAUCGGGGAGGCGUUACCCGCCCAGGAAGCCCCGGCUAACUCCGUGCCAGCAGCCGCGGUAAUAC
rnacentral:rRNA from 1 species